AACGAACGCUGGCGGCAGGCCUAACACAUGCAAGUCGAGGGGGAAGCCAUCUUCGGGUGGUGGAGACCGGCGCACGGGUGAGUAACGCGUGGGCACCUGCCCUGGGGUGGGGGAUAACCGCUGGAAACGGCGGCUAAUACCGCAUACGCCUUUAGAGGGAAAGAUUUAUCGCCCUGGGAGGGGCCCGCGUUGGAUUAGCUUGUUGGUGGGUAACGGCCCACCAAGGCGACGAUCCAUAGCUGGUCUGAGAGGAUGAUCAGCCACACUGGGACUGAGACACGGCCCAGACUCCUACGGGAGGCAGCAGUGGGGAAUAUUGGACAAUGGGGGCAACCCUGAUCCAGCCAUGCCGCGUGCGUGAAGAAGGCCUUAGGGUUGUAAAGCGCUUUCACCGGUGACGAUGAUGACGGUAGCCGGAGAAGAAGCCCCGGCUAACUCCGUG
rnacentral:rRNA from 1 species